ACGGAAGGCAGCAGUGGGGAAUAUUGCACAAUGGGCGAAAGCCUGAUGCAGCGACGCCGCGUGAGUGAAGAAGUAUCUCGGUAUGUAAAGCUCUAUCAGCAGGGAAGAAAAUGACGGUACCUGACUAAGAAGCCCCGGCUAACUACGUGCCAGCAGCCGCGGUAAUACGUAGGGGGCAAGCGUUAUCCGGAUUUACUGGGUGUAAAGGGUGCGUAGGUGGUAUGGCAAGUCAGAAGUGAAAACUAUGGGCUCAACCCAUAGACUGCUUUUGAAACUGUCAAACUAGAGUGCAGGAGAGGAAAGAAGAAUUCCUAGUGUAGCGGUGAAAUGCGUAGAUAUUAGGAGGAAUACCAGUGGCGAAGGCGUCUUUCUGGACUGUUACUGACACUGAGGCACGAAAGCGUGGGGAGCAAACAGGAUUAGAUACCCUGGUA
rnacentral:rRNA from 1 species